rnacentral:rRNA from 1 species
AUGAUUAGAGGCCCAGUGACUUGCAAGAAAUGCGGUGAAAAGGGUUAUAGGCAAGCUAGUUACAAGUGCCCACUGAACGGAACCAAAAAAAGUUGCAGGAAGAGGAAGCCUAGAAAGAACGUUACAAAAGCUAGGACAGCUGAACCUAGCACUCCGCAAAGGCCAACUAGAGAACAAAUACUACAAGACAGCCCAGGCAUGGUCACUAGAAGCCGCCUUGCUUUCUUGCUAGGAGAAAGUACUUCACAAGCCACAACAAGUACUCCAGAGAGGAUGUGA